UACGUAGGGGGCAAGCGUUGUCCGGAUUCAUUGGGCGUAAAGAGCUCGUAGGCGGCUUGGCAAGUCGGGUGUGAAAACUUCAGGCUCAACCUGGAGACGCCACCCGAUACUGCCAUGGCUAGAGUCCGGUAGGGGACCACGGAAUUCCUGGUGUAGCGGUGAAAUGCGCAGAUAUCAGGAGGAACACCGGUGGCGAAGGCGGUGGUCUGGGCCGGAACUGACGCUGAGGAGCGAAAGCGUGGGGAGCGAACAGG
rnacentral:rRNA from 1 species